rnacentral:tRNA from 1 species
CUCGGGAUAGCUCAGUUGGUAGAGCGAUGGACUGUAGAAGAAAGUAGGUUUCCAUUGGUCACUGGUUCAAAUCCGGUUCCCGAGA